AGUUGGUACAAUCUAGUACAUUUUCUAGUUCAAUUUUUACACUCAGCUUUUAAAUUGUGGCAACACUGUGUGUAUACGUCAAUCCUGUUUUAUUUGCCAACAGGUUGCAUUUAACACUCGGACAAUUAGCGACAAGAUUAAAAAUGGAUUUUGCCAACUAUUUAAUCAAGAUUGUUAAUAAAAUUGCUGAUUGACUGCGACGAGGAUUUCACAUCGCGGAGUUUGGGGUUAUUUGCCACUCGUUUUCAUGUGAACUUUUCCACUUUUCGUUUGAGUAAUUGUUUUGAAUUAUUUUAACACUACCGUCUUCACUUUACUAGCGGUUUCAUUAAUUACUGCUCAGUUGCUUCGUUUCCUUUGAGACCCGUAUAAGAAGAACCCCACAGUAGAAACAAUGAUAAUUCCACUUUAAUUUGAAGUUUCUAAGGGUGUGGGAUAAAGUAAAUUAUAUAGAUAGAUUAAUAAUUAUAUAAAUUGUAGUGUACUGUUUUAUAUUUAGGUACAAUGAAAUUGUUGAAACUUGUCAAGUCUAGAAAAACAUUUUACAAUUAGGGUACUGGGGGAUUCUAAUUUGUUAAAUUUGCAAGGUGGGGUGUCGUAUGAGGAACAUACUCUUAUUGAAGUAGAUACUAUUUAAGGCUGUUUGAUAUGGAUUGGUAUAACAUGCUAUAUACUCCAUAUGGCGAAUCUUGCACAUUAAUUGACCUCAUAGAAGGCUGUUGCUUUUGCAUUAGGACACCAAUUACAACAUUUUUGUUUCCGUGACUUACUUUCUUCAAGCUAUUAUAUUCAUCCGGGGCUGUAGUCAAAGUAAACAAACCAAAAACUUAUCAAUUGCCAGUAACAAAAAUCACGAAGGAUAUAUUUAUCACAGAAUUAAUAUCAAAAGUCUAUAAGUUGCAAUGAUACUAUAAUGAAAAAUGUCUUCAUUAAACGAAAGAAAAAUAAAAGACGUUCGGGACAUAUGGAACGCCAGUCUAGAAGAUUCCGACAAAGAAAAUCCAAAAAUACCAAUCGAAAGCAACAUAGACAAUAGAACAAAACAUAAAUACAAAACAUUAGAAAGACAUUUGAGUAUGAAAAAAACAAUAAGAAGAAAAAUGAUGCGAGAUCUCAGAGAAAUAGGCGAUGCUCAAGCUGAAGAUAAUACUCAAAGCGAGACUGGAUUUUUAGAACAAAUUAGAAAUGAUCAACCCCCUCCUGCUAACGUAGAUAAACCCAGUUUGUGGAAAAGACUGACCAAAGGAUGGGGACAUUAGGAUUUAGAUGUAUUAACUAUGUUAAGAAGAAAAAGAUGACUGUUUUAUUGAUUUUGAAAAAAAUUUACAUCACUGAGCUUUUUAAAUUCGUAUUUAUGAAACAAUAAUCGUCUAUGAAAAAAUUUUAAACCAGUAAUUUAUAUGUUUUCAAAUGUGUGGAUGUAAAAAAGUCUAAACUAAAUAAAUAAACAAAAUUGUUAAGAGGUCUAUUUGAUUCUUGUAUUUUAAGAUAACUGGCAAAUUGUAUGUUGAUUAGGUCAUUAAUACUAUCGACACAAAUAUCAGUGAUUUUUAUUUAUCAAUUGAUAAAAUUUUUACUACAAUAUCAAUUAUUUUAUAUAGUUGUUGACACGUCUUCAAUUGGAUCAAAGUUUUACUUAGUUUUAUUAAUUCAGCGAUCAGGCUAUUUACGACAGCAUUAUUAAUGCAAUUUAUCAAUGUUGAAAUGUUACUUUUUUAUCAUUAUUAUUUCUUCCUAAAUAAUGAUGAUGAUAUUGAAAAGAUUCUGAGUUGAUAUUAUGUAAAACCGGAGGACUGAUUGAUACCAGAACUUUUGACUCAAAUGUUACAUUCUUUGGGAGCACCUCCGCAAACGUUGAGUCUUAUAUCAAAAGUUUCAUUUCGACAAAUAUUUUAUUUGUAAAUAUUGGACCGCAUUUUUUAACAUUCAACAACCAGUUUUUGUCUUUGAAAUCGAAUAUUUUAUUGUUGCAAAUAUAACUUUAGUUCUGUGCAUUCACUUCUAAUGAUUAAUUAAUUACUAUGAUUUCAAACGGCACAAUACUCAAAACUUUGAGCAAUAAAUCAGUAUUGCAUCUAGAGGUUGUUUUAAAAAAGAUGUUGAAAAACGUAUGUAAGAAACAGAUAUUCGCUACAUUAAUAAUAUUGUACACAUAUUUAGUUAUUAUUACUAUUAGUAAAAAUAGAUAGGUCUUGUCGGUUAUAAUUUCCUGGGUAAUCCUUUUGCAAUCCUCUUUGUAGCCCUUAUAUAGCUCUCCAGAAUUGGAGAAUCUUCCAGGCGUCGCUGGCUUCAGCACAACAUUCUUCCGCUAGGUCAAAUCAAGCUUAAAAUUGCAUAAAAAUGUGUCAGUUUCUUUCUCUAUUCGACAAAACCGACAAUCCGGAUCGGCGGUCCCGUCAUUUUUUUAUGUGAUUUGACCUACCAGAGUCAUCACGUUCCCUCUAGUUAGCUGUAGUAUUUUCGCCGCCUAGCCUGAGGGUUUUGGCUUGCCUGAACAACUAAAGUUGCCCUUAAUCAGUAGUAAGGGGUGCCCACUACAGGCUGGGGUACUGUCAGCGGCUGAGUGACGUCAGUUUCCUUUUCUAUUCGACAAAACCGGCAAUCCAGAUCGGCGGCUCUGUCAUUUUUUUAUGUGAUUUGAACUAUCAGAGUCUUCACCUUCCCUCUAGUUAGCUGUAGUAUUUUUGCCGCCUAGCCUGAGGGUUUUGGCUUGCCUGAAGUAACGCCUCUUUAAUUUUCAUUACAACUAAAGUUGCCCUUAAUCAGUACUGUCAGCGGCUGAGUGACUCCAAUUAUGGUUUCGUUACCCCGGAGUUUCCUAAGUCUCAGGAUCCAAUACAACUAUACCGCCCUUUCGCUAACCAGUUCAUAAAGUACACAUAGCACAUUUUUAUGCGCUAUUCUCAAAAAUAUUUACAAUUUCGGCAUUUACCUUUGCACCAAUUAAAUAAUUCUCCUUUAUGUUGUGUUAUGUAGAAGAACUAAAUUGUUGAAGUAGUAGAAACUAGAAGUUAGGUAUAGGCAAAAGAAGUCUGCCUACCUGUCUAGUUUCAAAUUUAUCAAAUCCGCUUAAUGCGUCCAUUUGUUCAAUUUGUUGAAUACAAAAAUUUGAAUAUUUGCAACAAAAGUUUUCGUUUUUCGAAUAUAUUUUUAUAUUUAUUAACAGUAUUAUAUAGGAAUUUUGUAUAGAAAAGCUAUAUACCUUAGAAUAUUUAGUAUGUGAUGUGUUUUUAAGUGAAAAAAGGCAAAUAAAAUUAUAUUACUUGCAUAUAUCAGUGGUAUUAAAUUGGUGAUAUAUUUUAAGCUUCGGAAAUUAGCUUCAAAGACUUCGCUGUUCCUAUAGUAGUUCGUACAAGUUUCGAUAUAUAUUUCUGUAUGCUUUAAAACAUUUCUCUAUAGAUAUAUUAUAUUCUUGCCAACUCAUUUAAUUGUAUUUUAUAUAAAGCGAUUUACAUACUAGAAUAUUUAUUAUUUUUAUACUAGUAAUUGUGGAUUGUCUAUUUAUAAGUACAUAUAUGUAAAUAAUUUAUAAUGUUAGAAACCAGUUACUGCACUUUUAUGGAAUGUUAAUUUUUGUAAAUCGUAUGUGACAAACCUGCUUAUUUAUUUUUUGUUAUCAACAAAAAUGAAAAAUUUGCUUUGUAUAUAGAUUGAAAUGUAUACAUAAAGUCUUUGAUUAAUAAUAUCAAUAGGAUAGUCGAUCAAAAGUAGCAGUAUAGUUCAAAAUAAAGUUUUUUCUAUUUUA